CCUACGGGCGGCAGCAGUGGGGGAUAUUGCACAAUGGGGGGAAUCCUGAUGCAGCGACGCCGCGUGGGUGAAGAAGCGCCUCGGCGCGUAAAGCCCUUUCAGCAGGGCAGAAAAUGACGGUACCUGAAGCAGAAGCCCCGGCUCACUACGUGCCAGCAGCCGCGGUAAUACGCAGGGGGCCAGCGUUAUCCGGAUUUACGGGGUGGAAAGGGGGCGCAGACGGCGUUGCAAGCCAGGAGUGAAAGCCUGGGGCCCAACCCCGGGACUGCUCUGGGAACUGCGUGGCUGGAGUGCAGGAGGGGCAGGCGGAAUUCCUGGUGUAGCGGUGAAAUGCGUAGAUAUCAGGAGGAACACCGGUGGCGAAGGCGGCCUGCUGUACUGCAACUGACGUUGAGGCCCGAAAGCGUGGGGAGCAAACAGGAUUAGAUACCCCUGUAGUC
rnacentral:rRNA from 1 species